UGAUGUUUACAGCUUUGGGGUUGUCCUUCUUGAACUAACAACUGGGAAGGAGGCUCAUUUAGGGGAUGAAAAUAGAAGCCUAGCAGAAUGGGCAUGCAAUCACAUGGUUGAAGACAGACCUAUAGUCGAUGCUUUGGAUAAGGAGAUCAUGGGAUCUUCUUGCUUGGAUGAAAUGAUCACCGUUUUCAAACUUGGGGUUAAGUGUACGAGCAAACUGCCUUUUGAUAGGCCUUCCAUGAGAGAGGUCUUACAAAUCUUAGUUCAAUGCAGUCGUCCGCUUGUUUAUGGAGUGAAGAAUACGGGUAUUGAACUCAAGCAAGGACGUGCGUCAGACAGUGAUGAUAAUGUCUGAGCUCUCUCUGUUGGCACACUUGCAGUAUUAUUGAGAUUUAGCUCAAUGAUGCUAGAGUCGUCCCCAAAGCUAUGAAGUCUCAAGUUCAAGUUCCAAUGGCAUCCAAUUGUAAAAAAGAAAGCCCCAAUUUGAAGUUUUCCGCAGCAAUAGGUUAUAGAAUAUUUUUAGGCAACCAAAUAUUAGCUAGAGCGUCAGAUAACCGGUAAACUUUAAGAAAAUAAGCAGAUCUUGCACAACUGUGUGCAACUCAGCAGCCUUCGUGCACUUGUACUUUCUGAGACUUCCACAAUCCAAGCAAGCAUAGAUGGCAUUGUAAAGAGUUCAUUACACUAUAUUUUGCACUCAUCUACUUU
rnacentral:misc_RNA from 1 species